UGGGGAAUAUUGCACAAUGGGCGAAAGCCUGAUGCAGCGACGCCGCGUGAGCGAAGAAGUAUUUCGGUAUGUAAAGCUCUAUCAGCAGGGAAGAUAAUGACGGUACCUGACUAAGAAGCACCGGCUAAAUACGUGCCAGCAGCCGCGGUAAUACGUAUGGUGCAAGCGUUAUCCGGAAUUACUGGGUGUAAAGGGAGCGCAGGCGGGAAGACAAGUCGGAAGUGAAAUCUAUGGGCUCAACCCAUAAACUGCUUUCAAAACUGUUUUUCUUGAGUAGUGCAGAGGUAGGCGGAAUUCCCGGUGUAGCGGUGGAAUGCGUAGAUAUCGGGAGGAACACCAGUGGCGAAGGCGGCCUACUGGGCACCAACUGACGCUGAGGCUCGAAAGUGUGGGUAGCAAACAGGAUUAGAUACCCUGGUAGUCCACACCGUAAACGAUGAUUACUAGGUGUUGGAGGAUUGACCCCUUCAGUGCCGCAGUUAACACAAUAAGUAAUCCACCUGGGGAGUACGACCGCAAGGUUGAAACUCAAAGGAAUUGACGGGGGCCCGCACAAGCAGUGGAGUAUGUGGUUUAAUUCGACGCAACGCGAAGAACCUUACCAAGUCUUGACAUCCUGCGACGAUGCUGGAAACAGCAUUUUCCUUCGGGACGCAGAGACAGGUGGUGCAUGGUUGUCGUCAGCUCGUGUCGUGAGAUGUUGGGUUAAGUCCCGCAACGAGCGCAACCCUUACUGUCAGUUACUACGCAAGAGGACUCUGGCAGGACUGCCGUUGACAAAACGGAGGAAGGUGGGGAUGACGUCAAAUCAUCAUGCCCUUUAUGACUUGGGCUACACACGUACUACAAUGGCGUUAAACAAAGAGAAGCAAGACCGCGAGGUGGAGCAAAACUCAGAAACAACGUCCCAGUUCGGACUGCAGGCUGCAACUCGCCUGCACGAAGUCGGAAUUGCUAGUAAUCGUGGAUCAGCAUGCCACGGUGAAUACGUUCCC
rnacentral:rRNA from 1 species